GGGAGGGGAAUACAGCCUGGGAACAGGGACAUCAACAGAGCAAUCCCCCUGCAGGGGAAUUGUCCAGGGCUCCUCAUAUCCGUAAUGGGCAGGAGGACAUCCAGCCUUGUGCACACAGCCCUAUCAGGGUAUGGAGUCCUCCCCUCGCAGCCGGGCCCGCCCUAUUUCCGGGCUCCAUGUGACCACGGGUCAUCUGAUCUGGCAGAGCCAUCGGGUUAGGCGACAGGCUCCGGACAGAGCCCCCGAGACUGGGGGCUCAGCAGAGGGACGGCACCGAGGCUGGCUUGUCCACCGUCCUGAGGGGAGCGCAGACCUGUGGUUCCUUGUGACCAUGCUGGUGCUAUGGCGGAGACAAGAGACAGGAGCCACCGCUGAGCCCUGAACAAGGACCCCGGUUGGCCACGUCCCUCUCCCGGGCUUUCAUCUCCACCACAUCAAACGGGGACAGUUCCAGUCUGAGGUCAUUUUGCCCCUGAGACAGUUGGAGUCCCAUUCUCUAUCACAUCCCCAGGAUGCCGCAUUCUUGUGGGAACCUUCUAGGCACCCUUCAACCCCCCUACACUGCGCCUGGCACCCUCCCUGCCUCUCCAGCCGGGUCCUGACCCCCGCAGGCUGAGGGUGUUUGUAUCUUGUAUGGGUCGCUGCUCCUGUCAUCCUGGCCAAGGCUGAGGCGUCUCGGGGAUCAACACCACAGAAAAAGAAAGGUAGCACCGGAUUUCUCAAAUAUGACCUCAUGGCUGCGUCCUACAGACUAGCCACACCAGCCUCCAUAUAAUUAGCUGCUUUUAUUCGUUGAGGCAGGGGGCUUGCCUGGAGUUGAGCACACGCUUCUCCUCCUCCCUCAGCCUGUGGAUUGCUGAGCUCAUGGCUGUGCCUGGGAGACGCCGCGCACGCGCGCCGUGUCUGAAUUCAGUUCUUCCACCAUGGCGGCUGCAGGGUGGCCCCACAGGAGCGCUGUCCCAGCUGGAACUGGCAGUUGCCCCUCUGGGGAAUGUUUACUAAGUAUCGAGUGACAUCAGCGAGUGACCAGACCGGGUCACAGGGGCGAUGCUGUGCUGGACUGCACGGCGGUGGCUGCAGUGGCCUGUACUGAUGGUGAACCCAGCCUGCCGCUGGCACGGCCCGGCUGUCAGACACCGAGUCCAGGGGGUCGAGGACGAGCAGCAAGGAGCCUCCGGUGCCCCGCCUGCCAGCCGGCUGUGCCACCCCGCCGCACUUCCUCAGCCGUGAAGGACCUAGCUUUCUCACUGAAUGUGAAAGGGGUGGUGGUGAAGGUGUGAUCUUGCAGAAGAUGUGCCUGGUGAAGACGGCCUAGCCGGGGCCCAACCUCUGCCAUCCCAGGACCUUUUCACACUCCCAUCAACAAGCAAGAAGGGGCCGGCCAGACGGCUCAGCAGGCCUGGUGACCUGAGUCUGAUCCUUGGACCCCCAGAGCGGAAGGAGAAACGGACUCCUGCAAACUGUCCUCCGACCUUUACACGAGCACCACCACGCAUGUGCCCUGACCCCACACCAAUAAAUGCAUAUAAAUAACAAAAUAAAUCUUCAAACAUCCAAGAAGCAGCAGAAACACAGGAACAACUUAGCCAAGCCCUGUAAAGACACAUCCUGGGGCUGGAUCUUCUGGAGGCAGAGGGUCCUAGGCAGGGGGCACAUGCAAAGGUCCUGGGGCUGCAGACGCUGGGUGGCUCGGGGCACCGGGGUUGUGUUUCAGCCUCACUGGUUCUCUGGAGCUCAGGGAUGGAAACCCAGGUUCCACCCGUGGUGUGGGAACUCAUGGUCAGGAGCAUGUCUUCUCCUUCACCUUCCUAGCAACCGUGUCUGCUGGAGCAUGGGCUGUGUGCAGAGCCUUCCAGCACCCAGGCUCUUAUAGGAACAGUGAGGGUGCCCAGCCGUGCCUCAGUUUUCCGUGAGCAAGAGGAGUUCUCUGGCCUGUGAGGGAGGCUGAGGAAGUCGAGGGGCGAGGAGCACAGGUUCUCUCUCGAUUGUUUAAGGCUUUGUUACAAUUUCAUUUGUUUGACAUAAUAACAAAAGAGUAACUACACCGGCCUCAAACUCACAGAGAUGCGCCUGCCUCUGUCUCCAGGGUGCUGGAAUUAAGUAAUGAGUUUGAUUUUAUUAUUUUUAGUGCAACAGUCUCACCACGUAGCCAGGUUGGCCUCAAAUUUAUGGCAAUCCUCCAGCCUCAGCUUUCCAAGUGUUUCAGGCCCAAGUGCUGCCCGCAUGCUUAACGAGCCGGCUUGGAGCCUGAUUGAGCCUAUUUUCCUCGUUCUAAAACAGGGGUGGGGGCUGGGGGGAGGGGAGGAGGCAUGUCACUGUGGAGAGACUGGGUGAUAAGCCACCAGGGUUGGGAGCAGUCUUAACGUGGAGCAGACCCCAGGUCAGGCGGCGGUGCUGUCCCCAGACACCCUGCCCCCUUUCCCCUGGCACUGCGGUCAGUGCCCCACGCGCCAUCGCUCACACUGUCAUUUUUGAAGCAGGAUCUUCCCCUGAACCCGGGCCUUAGCAGUUCAGCCAGAGUGCGGAGCCGGGGUCCCCCUGCAUUCACCUCCCGGGAGCUCCUCUAGCAAGCCUUGGACCUGAUACUUGGGGUGCAGAUUGAGGGACAUGGUGACCACGCAGCCAGGCUGCAGCUCGGAUGUGUCACGUGACCCUGGUGAUGCAGGCGGCGGGGUGGGGGUGCUGGGGUCAGUACCAGGGCGGCAGGCCGCGUCAGCUGGGCCACUGCGGAGGGAUCAGAGCUACUUCCUGGCUUCUACACAGACCUGGAAUUUUCCAGGACUCACAGAAAUGCCUAGUUCUGUUCCUAAGGUUCAGGGGUUCAGCAUGCGGCUUGUGGGAGCCUCAGAGAGCGGGGCAGUGUGUGUGGGGUGUCGGGGAUGCUCCUGCCAGCAUGGCCACCCCUUGGGGAGCGCACAGCUCUGCACAGCUCUGCUUUGGAGUGUCUGGGGCACGUGUUGCAGGACUUGGGAAACGGAAGACCCUGGAGCAAUCUGUACGCUCAGGAAUGAGAGACUUGACUUGAUUAAAAUAUUAAAACGUGUUUAAAUUA